rnacentral:antisense_RNA from 1 species
UUCUGUGGCGGCCGUGCGAGGCAGGCUUCGGCCUGGCCGGUUUCCUUGGUUGCCGGUUUCUCACCCUUGCACGGUCCGCCUCCAAA